rnacentral:rRNA from 1 species
UUUAAAGAGAGUUUGAUCCUGGCUCAGGACGAACGCUGGCGGCGUGCCUAAUACAUGCAAGUCGAACGAACGGAGGAAGAGCUUGCUCUUCCAAUGUUAGUGGCGGACGGGUGAGUAACACGUGGGCAACCUGCCUGUAAGUUGGGGAUAACUCCGGGAAACCGGGGCUAAUACCGAAUGAUAAGAUGUGGCGCAUGCCACGCCUUUGAAAGAUGGUUUCGGCUAUCGCUUACAGAUGGGCCCGCGGUGCAUUAGCUAGUUGGUAGGGUAAUGGCCUACCAAGGCAACGAUGCAUAGCCGACCUGAGAGGGUGAUCGGCCACACUGGGACUGAGACACGGCCCAGACUCCUACGGGAGGCAGCAGUA